UAGUCAUAUGCUUGUCUCAAAGAUUAAGCCAUGCAUGUCUAAGUACAUACCUUUGCACGGUGAAACCGCGAAUGCUCAUUAAAUCAGUUAUGGUUCCUUAGAUCGUUCUUUUUACAUGGAUAACAGUGGUAAUUCUAGAGCUAAUACAUGCAAAAAGCUCCGACCGUAUGGGAAGAGCGCUUUUAUUAGACCAAAACCAAUGGGGUCGCAAGAUCCCUUUGUCUGGUGACUCUGGAUAACUUUGUGCUGAUCGCAUGGCCUAGAGCCGGCGACGUAUCUUUCAAGUGUCUGCCCUAUCAACUUUCGAUGGUAAGCGAUUUGCCUACCAUGGUUGUAACGGGUAACGGGGAAUCAGGGUUCGAUUCCGGAGAGGGAGCAUGAGAAAUGGCUACCACAUCUACGGAAGGCAGCAGGCGCGCAAAUUACCCACUCCUAGAACGGGGAGGUAGUGACGAAAAAUAACAAUACCGGACUCAAUGAGGCUCGGUAAGUGAAAUGAGUACAGUUUAAAACCCUUAACGAGGAUCUAUU
rnacentral:rRNA from 1 species